rnacentral:lncRNA from 1 species
AGAAACUGUAUGUUGUCUACAAAGUAUAAAAUAUUUACUCUCUGAACCUUUACAUAAUUAUUUGGGAAACAGCUUCUAGUGUGUAACUGGGACCCAGUAGAGCCUAAGUGGCUUACUAUGGGACGUCAGUGACAAUGCAACCUGAGCUCCCAAUCACAAGCUGGGUGUUAUAAGGUUACCAUGUCACAAGCUUAAGCAUUCCAUUGUACAGUGGAAAUGCUAGAUUUGGGAUUGAGUCCAAGCAGGACCAGAAGACAUGAGUAAAUUAUAACAACAGAUGACCUAAACUCCUAUGUCACUUACCUCUGCUGCACUGAAGGCUCUCUUUCAAUUCACUCCAAUUAUGGGGGCAGGAAACUUCGGCCUGGUUCACAGAAGGAUCAGCUAAUAUGUUGGUACUAAUAACAAAUGAACUAUGCUGCACCACGGUGAAGGGAAAUUCUCCCAGUAGGUAGAGCUGAGAACAGUACAUUUGUUCCUUCACUCCAUGUGGAGAGAUAAGUGGCCUGAGAUAUGGAUAACGUGGACUCAUCGUGGUGAAUGUUUUGUCUGCUUAAUCAGGGUCCUAGAAGAAGAAAAAUUGGAAGAUGAGGACAAGGAGGCUUGGGAAAAGGUAGAUGGAUGGACUUAAAGAGGCACGAAUCGUGUCGCUCUUUGUGUCUCAUUAUAAUGUCCACCAGAGAGCAAACACCACAAAGGAUGCACUCAGGAGCCAGUCUUGUUUUCCUCGGAGUUGACUUCAUUCCCUAUGUGGUGACAAAGAUGGCCACCAGCAGCUAGAGGUUACAUUCCAUCAACUUAGUAGACGAGCAGAGAGUGCCUCUUUUCUAAUAGCUCCAGUAACAUUCCAGACCUUGACCACCUAUCUGCAUCUUUGCCCCAGUUGCAAUCACUGGCACAUGCUUUUUGUGUUCUUACAGCCUACCAGUUCAAUCAACUGUGCGUGACCAAGAGGACGGAAAGCUUGGGGUGCUUCCAGUUAUUGCACAAUAAAAGCAGGCAAGGAACAAGUUGGCCUUUGAUAAAACAGUCUUUUGGGGCACAGAACUACUCUGGUGUGGCCUCUCUUCCUCCGUGAGUCCCCUUCCCCUCCUCGCCCUCACUUCCUGAUCCUUCAGCAACAACAGGAACUCAAGAGGCCCGGCAGGGCUAAGCCACAGCAGCCUCUGAUCUACAUGAAAUUCACUUUGAGGCUGCUUCUGGAUUAGAAAUACCAGGUGAUCCAUUUAACAGACAUCACAGCAGCCACCAGAGAGUUAUGUGAAGCCCCUAAAAUGACAGAGAAAACCAAUGUCAAGGGGACGUGUUGGUGAUUCUGCUAUAGUUAAGACAGGAAUGAGGAGAUGUUCACAGUCAGCAAAGUGAUGACACUCCAGCCACUGAGUGCCAACUCUUGUGUCUCAAUCCCUAUGACCUCAGUCCUACUGACAGGAGCACAUCUAAGACCAGCUCCAGCCAAGUCAAGCUCUUUGAAGUCUUUGUACAUCUUCAUCUAGGCAGAGGUGGAGAUGGUUCAGACUGGGCCUUGAGAUGCUGUCCCUUAAAACUUAGUCUAGUAUUGUGGAAGUGUAAAGAGCAAGGUGAAGCACAGUGGGGUUAGAGACAUAGGUAGGGACUGAGUCCCUGGAGCUUGCAGGGGAGGAGCCUCAGAGGGUUUGCAACAGGGAUGUGACAGGCUCGGAUCUACGUUUUGGAAAGAUCGCCCUGUAACAAUGUGGGGAACGCCUUGAAAAGGGCAAGACUAGAGGCAGAGAGCUGAGGUUAUUACAGUAGUCUGGUUAAGACAUUCAAAUAUCUCUUGGUGGUCACCAGAGGGGAAGGAGG